rnacentral:lncRNA from 1 species
AUCCAUACAGGAGAGAAACCUUAUUCAUGUUCUCAGUGUGGGAAAAACUUUCGUCAGAACUCUCAUCGGAGUCGCCAUGAAGGAAUCCAUAUAAGGGAGAAAAUAUUUAAGUGUCCAGAAUGUGGGAAAACCUUCCCAGAGAAUAAAGACUUUGUGCUUCAUCUGCAGAGUCAUGAGGCUGAGAGGCCGUAUAGUUGCAAAAAAUGUGGGAGAAGAUUUGGUCGGCUUUCCAACUGUACCCGGCAUGAAAAAACCCACUCAGCAUGUAAGACACGAAAGCAGAAAUGGGAUCAGGAAAGGUCUGAUGGUCCUGCCUUGACCUGAAAUGUUUAAUAGGGAAUUCUAGAUUCCCAGGCUUCUGAAAAGAUGCAGAUAUGUGAAAACCUCAUUAUAGUCAAAAUUGGGAAAAUACCCAUCUUGGCUGAAACCUCAAAGUUUUAGAAAAUUUCACAGGGAAGAAGACAUUCUCAAGGGCUAUACCUCAGUCAGCAUCCACAUUUUCUGGAUUAAGGAGCUCUCUUUUGUGAACUUCUACAACAAUGUACAGGCCACAGAUCCCUUUUCCCCAAAAGGCUUUGAAUAGGGGUCUGGAGGCCACUUACCUGUAAGGUGAACAGAGUGGCUCAUGUGUACGGAAAGUGUAUCCAUUUUCCCCCCACACAGGAAUUCACACUUGUGAAAAAAAAAAUAAUGCAAAAGUCCUUAUCUGGAACUGUGUUCCCCUGCGAGAACCAAACUACUGAUUUAUUAAGCCAAGAGCUUCUAUUAGCAGUUCACAUAACCUUCUAAGAAUACCCUGUUGAAGCUUGAGUGUUGAAAGGGAUUGUUUACUUUGGAAUAUAGGAAAAUAACAGCAAGUGAAUGUCAAAGACUUACUCUGUCAUCUGUAUGUGAUCUAAACUAACCAUCGAUGUCAGUAACAUUUGCAUUUUGCAGUGAAAAGUGACUUUUACAGGAAUACUUUUCACAACAUACU